rnacentral:rRNA from 1 species
CAAUAGCGUAUAUUAAAGCUGUUGCGGUUAAAAAGCUCGUAGUUGGAUUUCUGUCAAGGACAACUGGUCCGCCCUCCGGGUGAGCACAUAGUUUGGUCUUGACAUCUUGCUGGAAGCUGUUGCUGCACUUGGCUGUGUGGCGCAGUGUUCAGCACUUUCACUUUGAGGAAAUUGGUGUGUUUCAAGCAGGCACAUGCCUUUGGACACAGUAGCAUGGAAUAAUUAGAUUGGGCUUUUGCUCCAAUUUGUCGGUUUCUGGAGCUGAGGUGAGUAUUAAUGGGGAUUGUUGGGGGCAUCCGAAUUUAGCCGUCAGAGGUGAAAUUCUUGGAUCUGCUAAAGACGGACAACUGCGAAAGCGUUUGCCCAGGAUGUUUUCAUUGA